CAAGCGGAUCUCUUAAAGCCGUUCUCAGUUCGGACUGUAGGCUGCAACUCGCCUACACGAAGCUGGAAUCGCUAGUAAUCGCGGAUCAGCACGCCGCGGUGAAUACGUUCCCGGGCCUUGUACACACCGCCCAUCACACCAUGAGAGUCUGUAACACCCAAAGCCGGUGGGAUAACCUUUAUAGGAGUCAGCCGUCUAAGGUAGGACAGAUGAUUAGGGUGAAGUCGUAACAAGGUAUC
rnacentral:rRNA from 1 species